rnacentral:rRNA from 1 species
GACGAACGCUGGCGGCGUGCCUAAUACAUGCAAGUAGAACGCAGUUGCGAACGGGUGAGUAACGCGUAUGUAACUGCCUCAUAGCUGGGGAUAACUAUUGGAAACGAUAGCUCAUACCGCAUACUUUUAGAUGGACCUGCGUUGUAUUAGCUAGUUGUUGAGGUAAAGGCUCACCAAGGCGACGAUAGAUAUCCGACCUGAGAGGGUGAGAGGCAACACUGGGACUGAAGCACCGGCCAGACUACGACGGGAGGCAGCAGGAGGGAAUCUUCGGAAAUGGACGGAAGUCUGAUCGAGCAACGCCGGCUGAGUGAAGAAGGUUUUCGGAGCGUAAAGCUCUGUUGUUAGAGAAGCGGUAACUAACGAGAAAGGGACGGCUAACUACGUGCCAGCAGCCGCGGUAAUAC